GGAUAUUACAGGAACUAAGGUUAAAAGCCAAUAAACCGUACUGGGUUCGAGUCCAGAAAAGGGUGACCAGUGGCUUUGGACGAAGAUGAAUAAAGAUUCUGAGGCAAGCAAAGAGGAGCAUCGGUACGACGAUGAUACCGAAUUAACAUCGCGACACUGACUGAACACAAAAUCAUAAAAAGGAACUUUUUAGACACUACUACUGGAUGCACAAACCCAUGCCGAAG